rnacentral:rRNA from 1 species
GACGAACGCUGGCGGCGUGCUUAACACAUGCAAGUCGAGCGGUAAGGCCCUUUCGGGGGUACGACGAGCGGCGAACGGGUGAGUAACACGUGGGUGACCUGCCCUCAGCUCUGGGAUAAGCCCGGGAAACUGGGUCUAAUACCGGAUAUGACUCCAUGACGCAUGUUGUGGGGUGGAAAGCCUUGUGCGGCUGAGGAUGGGCCCGCGGCCUAUCAGCUUGUUGGUGGGGCGAUGGCCUACCAAGGCGACGACGGGUAGCCGGCCUGAGAGGGCGACCGGCCACACUGGGACUGAGAUACGGCCCAGACUCCUACGGGAGGCAGCAGUGGGGAAUCUUGCGCAAUGGGCGAAAGCCUGACGCAGCGACGCCGCGUGAGGGAUGACGGCCUGUGU